rnacentral:lncRNA from 1 species
UUCCUUCUAUAGUUCUCUUUAAGUGUAUUAUAAUAAGUUUUUACAGAAAAUCAGUUCUCAAGACCAAUAUAUAAAUAACAUAGGCAUAUUAUGUUUUUAUAGAAAAAUAAUGUGUUACAUCAGCUUCUAAGAUGUUGGUCCAUAAUGAGGUUUCCUCCUUAGGUGGGUUUCCUUUAUGCUUGAGCUUCUAAUUUAGUGGUCGACAAUGAAGCUUUCCUUUCUAUAUGGGUUUUCUCUUGAGGCUCAAUUGUCAAUUAUGGAGCUUGAUGUUUCUUUACAGUGAAGGUUUCCUCAUGUGUAGCUCAAUGCCAAUAUUGUUGUUUAGCCACAUGACUCCUAUUUGAAUCUUCAGCAAACCAUCAUAUGGUUCUUAGUGUCAACUUUGGGGCUCAACACCAACUUCUUAAUUUCCUUCAACUUACCUGUAAAAACAAUACAAACAUAUCAAUUUCCACUUUUUAUUUCGUUUCUUGAUGGCAACCUCCUUAUGCUAGGUUGAGCCAAAGUUAGGAGAUGUGCAUGGAAGAGUGUUUCCUUGGAUGGAUGAUGUAGAA